rnacentral:lncRNA from 1 species
GUUUCCUGAGGCGGGGCUCACUGUACGGCCCAGCUACCUGAGGCUCCGCUUCCUCCUCCCUCGGCCGCCCGGCAGUUCUCUCCAGGAGAACACAGGCAACCUGGCCACUGACCAAGUAGGAGAAGAUACCUGGGGAGGUUUCACCCACAUCUACCAUGGUCUUUUUCAACUCAAACAAAGAACUGGAUGAGACAAGCCAAAAACAGUGCCAAAAGUUUAUUUCAAAGGUUAGUCGUGAAGAGGUAAAGGAAAAACUGGCCUUCAGAGCAAACUUGCGCUGAUCAAAAGAGGAAAAGAGAAAAAGAAAAGAGACCCAGGGUGGGCUACCAUGAGGAGGCAUGAUAGCAAGCUCCUCAUGGCAUCUGGUCUCCUUUACACCUUCCACACUUCACGGGAGCCUGCAGAAG